rnacentral:rRNA from 1 species
UACAGAGGGUGCAAGCGUUGUUCGGAAUUAUUGGGCGUAAAGCGCGUGUAGGCGGCUUUGCAAGUCGGGUGUGAAAGCCCUCGGCUCAACCGAGGAAGUGCGCCCGAAACUGCAGAGCUUGAGUACCGGAGAGGAUGGCGGAAUUCCCCAAGUAGAGGUGAAAUUCGUAGAUAUGGGGAGGAACACCGGUGGCGAAGGCGGCUCCCUGGUCCGAUACUGACGCUCAUGUGCGAAAGCGUGGGGAGCAAACAGG